GGCUUCGUGGUCAAGUGGUAAAGACACGUACCUCUCACCCUGGAGUCCCGGGUUCGAUCCCCAGUCGAAGAGUUA